rnacentral:rRNA from 1 species
CUACGGGUUGCUGCAGUGGGGAAUAUUGCACAAUGGGCGCAAGCCUGAUGCAGCCAUGCCGCGUGUAUGAAGAAGGCCUUCGGGUUGUAAAGUACUUUCAGCGGGGAGGAAGGGAGUAAAGUUAAUACCUUUGCUCAUUGACGUUACCCGCAGAAGAAGCACCGGCUAACUCCGUGCCAGCAGGCCGCGGUAAUACGGAGGUGCAAGCGUUAAUCGGAAUUACUGGGCGUAAAGCGCACGCAGGCGGUUUGUUAAGUCAGAUGUGAAAUCCCCGGGCUCAACCUGGGAACUGCAUCUGAUACUGGCAAGCUUGAGUCUCGUAGAGGGGGGUAGAAUUCCAGGUGUAGCGGUGAAAUGCGUAGAGAUCUGGAGGAAUACCGGUGGCGAAGGCGGCCCCCUGGACGAAGACUGACGCUCAGGUGCGAAAGCGUGGGGAGCAAACAGGAUUAGAUACCCUGGUAGUC